UCUGUGGUGGACUAGUGGCUAGCACAUGGUGCUUUCACCACUGCGGCCCGGGUUCGAUCCCUGGUCAGGGAA